rnacentral:rRNA from 1 species
UACGGGGGGGCAAGCGUUGUUCGGAAUUACUGGGCGUAAAGGCUUGUAGGUGGCCAACUAAGUCAGACGUGAAAUCCCUCAGCUUAACUGGGGAACUGCGUCUGAUACUGGAUGGCUUGAGUUGGGAGAGGAUGCGGAAUUCCAGGUGUAGCGGUGGAAUGCGUAGAGAUCGGGAAGAACAUCAGUGGCGAAGGCGGCCUGCUGGGCUGUUGCUGACGCUGAGGCGCGACAGCGUGGGG